AUUGAACGCUGGCGGCAGGCCUAACACAUGCAAGUCGAACGAGUGGCGGACGGGUGAGUAAUGUCUGGGAAACUGCCCGAUGGAGGGGGAUAACUACUGGAAACGGUAGCUAAUACCGCAUACCAUCGGAUGUGCCCAGAUGGGGUUAGCUAGUAGGUGGGGUAACGGCUCACCUAGGCGACGAUCCCUAGCUGGUCUGAGAGGAUGACCAGCCACACGGGAACUGGGCAAGGGUCCGUGCUCCGACGGGAGGCAGCAGUGGGGAAGAUUGCACAAAGGGCGCAAGCCUGAUGCAGCAAGGCCGCGUGUAUGAAGAAGGCCUUCGGGUUGUAAAGUACUUUCAGCGAGGAGACGUUACUCGCAGAAGAAGCGCCGGCUAACUCCGUGCCAGCAGCCGCGGUAAUAC
rnacentral:rRNA from 1 species